rnacentral:rRNA from 1 species
GAUGAACGCUGGCGGCGUGCCUAAUACAUGCAAGUCGAGCGAACAGACGAGGAGCUUGCUCCUUUGACGUUAGCGGCGGACGGGUGAGUAACACGUAGGUAACCUACCUAUAAGACUGGGAUAACUUCGGGAAACCGGAGCUAAUACCGGAUAAUAUUUCGAACCGCAUGGUUCGAUAGUGAAAGAUGGCUUUGCUAUCACUUAUAGAUGGAUCUGCGCCGUAUUAGCUAGUUGGUAAGGUAACGGCUUACCAAGGCAACGAUACGUAGCCGACCUGAGAGGGUGAUCGGCCACACUGGAACUGAGACACGGUCCAGACUCCUACGGGAGGCAGCAGUAGGGAAUCUUCCGCAAUGGGCGAAAGCCUGACGGAGCAACGCCGCGUGAGUGAUGAAGGUCUUCGGAUCGUAAAACUCUGUUAUUAGGGAAGAACAAACGUGUAAGUAACUGUGCACGUCCUGACGGUACCUAAUCAGAAAGCCACGGCUAACUACGUG